rnacentral:rRNA from 1 species
UACGGGGGGUGCAAGCGUUGCUAGGAAUCAUUGGGCGGAAAGGGCGCGUAGGCGGCCAGGUAGGUCAGGUGUGAAAUCCCGGGGCUCAACCCCGGAAUUGCAUUUGAAACCGCCUGGCUUGAGUAUGGGAGAGGGAAGUGGAAUUCCUGGUGUAGAGGUGAAAUUCGUAGAUAUCAGGAGGAACACCGGUGGCGAAGGCGACUUCCUGGACCAAUACUGACGCUGAUGCGCGAAGGCGUGGGGAGCAAACAGG